CCAUUCAAGGAUGCAGUAUAAACGUUAUUUUCCUUCCUUAAUUCCUGUGGAUUAUCCUAAUUAGUGCAAGACAAAACUCAUCAACAUGUGCAUUAUUUUCAGCAAUAUUCAUGUUCUGCACUGACAAAUGACUGUAAGAAUAUUUGAAUAGGGUUCACAGACAGGAAACUCCAACCAAACAUCACACGAAUCUGACAAAAUCAGUGGAUUCAUCAGAUACUGGAUAUUAUUGACCUUUCAGUCUGGAAUCAAUAGACAGCAACCAGAAGUGGGAUCCCUGGCUGAUUCACCGAUCAUGAAUGACCUGGCUUUAAGAUCAAUUUUCGCAUUGAGAUUGCUGUUCCACUUUGCAUCAUCGAACGCGUCAUAAAUUUAUAACUAAACCUGAAAUCAGAUCAUAUUGCUGCGGUACCCAUGGGAUAAACCCAGUAACCACUGGAAUGAUCUUUCUUUCGCUAUCAAUAAAUUGUAACAUAAUAGAAAUAGGUACUUGAAAAAAAAAUGAUAUAUUUACAUAAAUAAAAAGUACACAAUCUGGGAAUUAACUCGAAAUUUCAACCACGUUUUACUUACAUGUCUGUAUGUUUCUGCCUUGAUUUUUCAGUUACCCUGUUUAUCACAGAGUCAUCAAAAUUUAGUUUAUCUAACAAAAAGUCAAAAGAUCAGAAAUUAGACUUUAUGCAAGUAAUUUUGUUCUUAUUAUAAGAUCUAUGUCCUUGUAAUGAUAGUAAAGUGCGCACUGCACUAUAGCUUUGGGAUACUUUUUCCACAUCCAACAAUGUGCACUAUAACAACAUCAAUUAGACUCGAAAGUUCACUCAAGAUUUGGCAACACUACAAACAAAGUCCUCAAUUAAAGUCAUUCUUUUUAACAUUGGUAAGUUAAAGGGGCCUGUAACCUCCGUCUACGGGAUUCAUUUUAACAUAGUUUCCAUCAUGGAUUUCAUUUUAACAUAAUUUCCCUGCAUAAAGUAACUGGUCUCUUCCUAUAGCAGUCUCUGCUUGCUCCCCCACCUCUCAGUUGCAGUGUCUCCCCAACCAUUCACCACUCAGUUGUGGCUUCUUUUCCACUCCAGACCUCACAGUUGCAGCCUCUGCCCAGUCAUAGGCUGACCCAUGUGUUGCUGGACUUGCAUUCCAGAUCAAGGUACCAAUUCAAGAUGCAGCUGAGCUCCAAUGUAGUAUAGAUGAGAAUCUUGAUUGUUCAAAAGUACUGGGGUGGAGGUUUUGGUUUAUAGUCCUUUUUAAAAAAUGAUUUUCAAAGCUGCUCGUCUUUGUUCACACCAAGAGUUCAGGAGGGAGAAGUAGUGAGUGGAAGCAUUGAGAAAAAAAAAUUGAUUGUAAAAGCCCCAACAUUUCUAAACCAUCGGGACCCAAACUUCCCCAACUUCUGAACUCAGACUAUGCAUUGAGUCUGGAUGUUGAAUGGGAACACAAGUCAACAAGAAAGCGGCAAGAGUGUGGGUUGAAAAGGGAAAGAGCAAAACUCAAGUGGGUUGUUGUGGUGACUGGGGCAUGCAAUGCAGCAUGCUACUGGGAUGAAAGUAAGGAAGAGUGUCUGACAACUUAGAGGAUCAAGAAGCAGGGAGGAUUUACAGCAACAUAGGUGAUUUUGUGGGCAGGAUCACUGGAAAGGAGGAAGUGUAGCAAACUUUAUUUUAACUAGGUUGUUAUGGACUGGCAAUCUUGAUAAACCAACAAAAAUUAUAGAUCUGAAAUACUGGAAGGAUAGCAGUGAUGUGUACACUGUCUAUAUUAUGUUAAUA